UCUAAGCGAGCAUUUCUUGCUCUCUUCUGUUCCUUUGGUGGGAUUACAGAACAGAGACCUCAUUAGAAAUGCCGGAAGAGGGCGUCAGAUGAAGGCAAAGAGACCUAGGAAUAAAGGUGACUGUGCUAGGAAGAACUGGGAAGAAACAUGUAAGAAUCAGAGAUAUUUAUGGAAAAUGAUGAUACUUUCUUUACUUCCAGGUAUUAGAGGAAUAUGAU
rnacentral:lncRNA from 1 species